AAAGAAUCCAAGAGCUGACUCUCUUUUGCAUGUUAAGAUCAAUCCAAGGCCAUGACAAUGCCAAGAACAUCCACCUAGUGACUUCUCUAUUGCUCAGUUCUGGUUUCUGGAGCGACUACUUGUCAUCCAUGGGCACUGGUGCUAUAAGAGGAUUACCCAAAUGGUGGAGUAACAUUGAUGGAUGCCUUCUUGAUAAAGUUCUUCCCAGUCGUCUAUCGAAAGACCAAAGAUCCUAGUUUGGAUAGCAAUUACUGCAAAUACGACAACCACGACCAUCAGCUAUUCACAUCAUCAUUGAAUCUGGCCGGCUUGACUUCGACCUUCUUUGCGUCCUACACCACAAGAAACCUCAGUCGGAGGCUGACCAUGCUCAUUACAGGGAUUUUCUUCAUCAUUGGCAUGGUGCUAAAUGCAGCUGCCCGGAACCUUGCCAUGCUCAUUAUAGGAAGGAUCUUCCUGGGGUGUGGAGUCGGCUUCACUAAUUAGGUGCAGCUGCACAGUAUCCGUUCCUUGGUAGUUCAGCUAAUUUGAAUCUGCAACAAGAAGUUGCUGGAAAUAGCAGCUAUGUUGAUGUUGAAUUCAUGGAUCAUGUGAUUAUGGCCGUUAGCAGAGGAAAGCGUCCAUUGCCGAUGACGCACCAGAUCUCUCCCAACUACAGCUCCAACAUGUUGGCUGAUUUCUCUGAGAAGGACCAGAGGCUUCAGUUGUUGAAGUCGAGAUUUAGCAAUCUGAAUUAGAAUCCAAUGAUGACGGUUGAUCAAAGCUUCAAUUGUUGACUUCUUUUUUGUUUUUUUUUUUCCCCCCAGAUUUCUAUUCCAAAUAGAAACUAAAAUUUCAAUUUGAAAAGUGGGUGUGAUUCCCAUGUUUUUCUCCAUGAGUUGUUACCUUAUGAGAACAAAAAUGCAAGCCAUUUGAUCAA